UUUGCUCAUGUUUAAGUGAUCAUCCACUUAAAGAUGCCUCUCACAGUUACUGUACUUGUACCUUUGGUUUUUCCUGCCUAUGUGUAAAACCUUGCUUUUCUCCACAUUAAAUUUCACGUUGUUGGAUAGGGCUUCCUAUCAAAUGCUUAUAAUGCUUUCCACAAAUGCUUAUAAGUGUAUAGGGCUUCUGCCAGGAGAAAACAUUGAGUAGCUAACUGCUAUUGCUUAGUAAGAAAAAAGUCAUACGAACCAUGUAUUUUAAUAUUUUUUUUAAUAUAGCAUUCCUUAUUUCUAUUUGCAAAUAGAUGAGUAAAAAAAAAAAGGAUUGAGAAAAAAGUAUGUAUGCCAAAUCCCCCAGCCAGUAAUAUAACUUUCCUCCUCUAAAGCAAACAAGCAAAACUUGUAAUUCUUUUCCUUUUGGAAAUGGCCAUGGAAUCCAUUUGGACUCUCCAGCCACAGAACACAAUAGAGUCUAGAACACGGGUGUCAAACUUGAUCAUGUCAGGUGACAUAUUGUGACAUGUCACAACGUUUUUGCAUUUGCAGAGCUGGGGUACGCAUGGCCUCCAUGUGAUGCAUCUGGUCCGCAGGCAACCAGUUUGAUGCCCCUGAUCUAGAAACUACUAGGUCAGGGGUAGGCAGCCUUGGCUCUUUUAUGACUCGUGGACUUCAACUCCCAGAAUUCCUGAGCCAGCACAGGAGCUAAGUUGGCUGUAUGUCAAAAUAUUAAUGCUUUCCCUACAGACAUGGAUAUCUCUGGAAUCAGGACAGAUUGCCUUGCUCUGCCUUUGGAUAGUAUCAUCAAUGGACUGCCCCCAAGGAAGAGGCUCCAUUGUGACGACAUGUCCUCAGUCUCCAAUAAGAAGGCCAUUCUGGAUGCAGG